rnacentral:rRNA from 1 species
AAUGAACGUCGGCGGCGUGGAUUAGGCAUGCAAGUCGAGCGCUCACCCGCAAGGGUGGGAGCGGCGAAAGGGAGAGUAACGCGUGGGUAUCUGCCCUCGGGACUGGGAUAGCUGCGGGAAACUGCAGGUAAUACCAGAUGACGUCCCCGGACCAAAGGUGUGAUUCCGCCUGAGGAUGAGCCCGCGUCCUAUUAGCUUGUUGGUGGGGUAAUGGCCUACCAAGGCAAUGAUGGGUACUGUGUGUGAGAGCACGACCCAGCUCACUGGGACUGGGACACUGCCCAGACACCUACGGGUGGCUGCAGUCGAGAAUCUUCGGCAAUGGGCGAAAGCCUGACCGAGCGACGCCGCGUGUGGGAUGAAGGCCUUCGGGUUGUAAACCGCUGUCAGAGGGGAGGAAUGGGCGGAGGGUAAUCUCUUCGUUCUGACCUAUCCUCAGAGGAAGUACGGGCUAAGUUCGUGCCAGCAGCCGCGGUAAGAC